UUGGAGGCAAGCUGAAGCUUCGUCUCCACGCCAGGGAGCAGGCAGAAGGAAGACCCUCACGGAGCCCUCCAGAGCGCGUUAACAGGAGAGCGCGCAUUUGGAUGCCUGCCCAUACACUGGGAACAAAGGGCCCGUCGGUGUCAAGUGGAGGCGCUGUCGUGACCAGCGGAGAGGGUUACGAGCUUACAACCGACAGUCUCGUAAAACGCGACCGGCCUCUCCGUCCUCCGCCCCCCACGCCGCAGCAGUGCAUGCUGGGAAGCGGGAGGCGUUGCUAGAACGGGAAGAAGCCGGACCUGCCUCCGAAGCGCUGCCGUCAGCCCCGAGCGCACAUUCCGGUCCCUCGGGGAAACUUAAAAAAAAAAAAUUCUUGUGAACUGAGAUUCCCAGUAAACCAGUGAUAUCGCUCUGACCUUGCCCCAGAGAUGAGCAAACAGAAGCCUGGAGAAUUUACGUGAUUUGUGCAAGUCCAACACAGCUGAAACCAGCCUUGCAGAAGACUGUCCAGUGGGGUGCGGGGGGCACCUUAGAGUCCCAUAGCUCUAAGGUGAUUCUUAGAAACCUCCACUCUGAAGGCCUCUUGUCCUUCAAUCAAGCAUCCAGCACAUCCUCACAACUCCCUCGGAUCACCCUGAGGCCACUCUUCUCACCGUUGACACCACAACCAUUAUUCCUGACACAUGAGGCAGGGUGAUCCAAGACCAGAAGGUCAUCAUGAUCAAGAGACGCACCACUUCUCCUAAUGGAAAUACAGAGAAGAAUAGAGAAGGUUGCAGGGGUCGUGAAGCAAGCACAGGUUUCUUUCUGCUUCUCAGAAGGGCUGGCCAGCACCUCGGCCGUGCUCCUCAGGAACGGCUGGGAAAACGAGCCUACCUGGUGGGCCAGCCAGGUUCCUGCUACCUGAAGCCCUGCCAGGGCUGUGCAGACUCCCAGUGGCUGGAAAAGGAGUCUGAGGGAAAAGUCCUACAAAGGCACCCGUAGCACAGUGGUUAAGGCAGGGCUCUGGGGGCUUCCCUGGUGGCUCAGUGGUUAAGAAUCCACCUGCCAAUGCAGGGGACGCGGGUUCAAGCCCUGGUCCGGGAAGAUCCCACAUGCCGCGGAGCAACUAAGCCCGUGCGCCACAACUACUGAGCCCGUGAGCCACAACUAUUGAGCUUGCAUGCUACAACUACUGAAGCCCGUGCGCCUAGAGCCCGUGCUCCACAACAAGAGAAGCUACCGCAACAAAGAGUAGCCCCCGCUCGCCGCAACUAGAGAAAGCCCGCACGCAGCAACAAAGACCCAAUGCAGCCCAAAAAAAAAAAAAAAAAGUCAGGGCUCUGGAGCCAGAAUGCCUGCGUUCAGCUUUCUGCUCGGGGUCACAGUGGUGUGUGACCUCAGGCCAGGGACUCAAACUUUCUGAGCUUCAGUUUCCUCACGUGUAACAGGGACAAUAAUUGUGUCUGUCUCAUAGGGCCGUUAUGAUGAUUAAAUGAGUCAUUCCACGGGAAGCAUUAACAGCAGUACCUGGCACUUAAGGUCUGCUCAACAAGUGUUAGCUACUAUCUAGGACUUUGCCGUCCAGUAUGGUAACCACUAACCACAUAUGGCUAUUGAGUGCUAGAAAUGUGGCUAGUCUGGCUUGAUAGGUGCUGUAGGUACAAAGUACACACAGAUUUCAAAGACUUUGUAGGAGAAAAAGAAUAUCAAAUAUCUCAUUGAUAGUUGUUCUGUUGAUUGAAGUUGAUAUUUCAAUUGUAUGUUGAAAUAAUAGCAUUUUGGAAU